rnacentral:rRNA from 1 species
UACGGGGGGAGCAAGCGUUGUUCGGAUUUACUGGGCGUAAAGGGCGCGUAGGCGGCCACCGCAAGUCGACUGUGAAAUCUCCGGGCUUAACUCGGAAAGGUCAGCCGAUACUGCGGGGCUAGAGUGCAGAAGGGGCAACUGGAAUUCUCGGUGUAGCGGUGAAAUGCGUAGAUAUCGAGAGGAACACCUGCGGCGAAGGCGGGUUGCUGGGCUGACACUGACGCUGAGGUGCGAAAGCGUGGGGAGCAAACAGG